CCUACGGGGGGCUGCAGUGGGGAAUAUUGCACAAUGGAGGAAACUCUGAUGUAGCAACGCCGCGUGGAGGAUGACACAUUUCGGUGCGUAAACUCCUUUUAUGUGAGAAGAUAAUGACGGUAUCACAUGAAUAAGCACCGGCUAACUCCGUGCCAGCAGCCGCGGUAAUACGGAGGGUGCAAGCGUUACUCGGAAUCACUGGGCGUAAAGCGCGCGCAGGCGGCUUUGUAAGUUGGAUGUGAAAUCCUAUGGCUCAACCAUAGAACUGCAUCCAAAACUACUUAGCUAGAGUCUGGGAGGGGAAGAUGGAAUUAGUGGUGUAGGGGUAAAAUCCGUAGAGAUCACUAGGAAUACCAAAAGCGAAGGCGAUCUUCUGGAACAGUACUGACGCUGAGGCGCGAAAGCGUGGGGAGCAAACAGGAUUAGAUACCCCUGUAGUC
rnacentral:rRNA from 1 species